ACGAGUUGUGUCUAUUUUAGUAUGAAUGGAUGAACGAAACAGCUUGGAAGGUUUUAUUUUAUUCAAAUAAUAACGAAUCUCAACAAAAUGAUCAAAUACUAAAGGCUAUAGACAUAGUCUGCAGAUCAUCAUGAUCGCGUGGAGUCAACAGAUAAUCAACCAGCUUUGGAUCGCCUUGAAAAGAGUCUAAAAACGGCUUGAGUUGGACAUACCUCUCAAUCAUGUCUAGGACACAAGAUUAGAACUUUGUAAUAAAGAUGUCAAGUUUGGCUGUUUUAGAAAAUCCAGCAAGUGCUUGGUUCAAAUCUUGCCAGAUUAAUGAAAUUCAGUCUGAAGCAUUACUUUCCAUAUUGACAAUGAUAGGAUUAAAACAAUGUCAUCUCAAUAGCAAGAAUUAAAGUUAGAAAAAAGUGCUCAGACUUAAUCCUAUAAUGCAUCCUGUCCAGCAAGUACUCUUUCUGCUAAUAACAUCAAUCUUUAGUUAAGAUCUAUUGUCAAGUAAUGAAUCCACCCAAUAAAACUGUAACAAACAUCAAA